rnacentral:rRNA from 1 species
AGCGAACGCUGGCGGCAGGCCUAACACAUGCAAGUCGAACGAACUCUUCGGAGUUAGUGGCGGACUGGUGGGUAACAGGUGGGAACGUGCCUUUUGGUUCGGAAUAACUCAGGGAAACUUGUGCGAAUACCGAAUGUGCCCUUCCGGGGAAAGAUUUAUCGCCAUUAGAGCGGCCCGCGUCUGAUUAGCUAGUUGGGGAGGUAACUGCUCACCAAGGCUACGAUCAGUAGCUGGUCUGAGAGGAUGACCAGCCACACUGGGACUGAGCCACGGCCCAGAAUCCUACGGGAGGCAGCAGUGGGGAAUCUUGCGAAAUGGGCGAAAGCAUGACGCAGCCAUGACGCGUGAAUGAUGAAGGUCUUAGGAUUGUAAAAUUAUUUCACAGGGGACGAUAAUGACGGUACCCGGAGAAGAAGCCCCGGCUAACUUCGUG